rnacentral:rRNA from 1 species
UAGGGAAUCUUCGGCAAUGGACGAAAGUCUGACCGAGCAACGCCGCGUGAGUGAAGAAGGUUUUCGGAUCGUAAAACUCUGUUGUUAGAGAAGAACAAGGACGUUAGUAACUGAACGUCCCCUGACGGUAUCUAACCAGAAAGCCACGGCUAACUACGUGCCAGCAGCCGCGGUAAUACGUAGGUGGCAAGCGUUGUCCGGAUUUAUUGGGCGUAAAGCGAGCGCAGGCGGUUUCUUAAGUCUGAUGUGAAAGCCCCCGGCUCAACCGGGGAGGGUCAUUGGAAACUGGGAGACUUGAGUGCAGAAGAGGAGAGUGGAAUUCCAUGUGUAGCGGUGAAAUGCGUAGAUAUAUGGAGGAACACCAGUGGCGAAGGCGGCUCUCUGGUCUGUAACUGACGCUGAGGCUCGAAAGCAUGGGGAGCAAACAGG